AUCAGGUCUUUCAGUUUUUAAGUGUGAUAACCAGGUGUUUACACCAUUGUGUGAUACGUAUCUUCUGCAACCUUGUUACAACAUUGGCACAUUAUCCAUUUAAUG
ensembl:snoRNA